rnacentral:antisense_RNA from 3 species
UGUCGCGGCGGCUGUGCGCGGGACGUCUUCGGGCGUGCCGGGUUUUCCUGUGAUCCGGUCGGUCAACCCGUGUACAGCUGCCACUUUU